rnacentral:rRNA from 1 species
CCCUUAGAUGUUCUGGGCCGCACGCGCGCUACACUGAUGCAUUCAACGAGCCUAGCCUUGACCGAGAGGUCCGGGUAAUCUUUGAAACUGCAUCGUGAUGGGGCUAGAUUAUUGCAAUUAUUAAUCUUCAACGAGGAAUGCCUAGUAAGCGUGAUUCAUCAAAUCGUGUUGAUUACGUCCCUGCCCUUUGUACACACCGCCCGUCGCUCCUACCGAUUGAGUGUGUUGGUGAGGAGUUUGGAUUGGCCUCGGAAGGUGGUUCGCCACCGUCCGUAGCUGAGAAGUUCUCCAAACCGCCCCACUUAGAGGAAGGAGAAGUCGUAACA